rnacentral:rRNA from 1 species
UAAUACAUAGAUAAUCUACCUUUUAGAGAGAAAUAACUACGAGAAAUUGUAGCUAAUGUCGCAUAAGACCACGAGAUGGCAUCAUCAAGAGGUCAAAGGAGAAAUCCGCUAGAAGAUGAGUCUAUGGCUGAUUAGUUAGUUGGCAGAGUAAGAGCCUACCAAGACGAUGAUCAGUAGCCGAGCUGAGAGGCUGGCCGGCCACAUUGGGACUGAGACACGGCCCAGACUCCUACGGGAGGCAGCAGUUGGGAAUAUUGGACAAUGGAGGAAACUCUGAUCCAGUGACGCCGCGUGAAGGAAGAAGGUCUUCGGAUUGUAAACUUAUUUUAUCAGGGAAGAGAAAGGACAGUACCUGAGGAAGAAGCACCGGCUAACUACGUGCCAGCAGCCGCGGUAAUACGUAGGGUGCAAGCGUUAUCCGGAUUUACUGGGUGUAAAGGGCGAGUAGACGGUAAUGCAAGUCAGAUGUGAAAUGCUAGGGCUUAACCUUAGAACUGCAUCUGAAACUGCAAUACUAGAGUGCAGAAGUGGUAAGUGGAAUUCCUAGUGUAGCGGUGAAAUGCGUAGAUAUUAGGAGGAACACCAGUGGCGAAGGCGACUUACUGGGCUGUAACUGACGUUGAGGCGCGAAAGUGUGGGGAGCAAACAGGAUUAGAUACCCUGGUAGUCCACACCGUAAACGAUGGAUACUAGGUGU